rnacentral:rRNA from 1 species
UACGUAGGGUGCAAGCGUUUAAUCGGAAUUACUGGGCGUAAAGCGUGCGCAGGCGGUUUUGUAAGUUUGUCGUGAAAGCCCCGGGCUCAACCUGGGAAUUGCGAUGAAGACUGCAAGGCUUGAAUCUGGCAGAGGGGGGGUAGAAUUCCACGUGUAGCAGUGAAAUGCGUAGAGAUGUGGAGGAACACCGGAUGGCGAAGGCAGCCCCCUGGGGUCAAGAUUGACGCUCGAUGCACGAAAGCGUGGGGAGC